rnacentral:rRNA from 1 species
AUGGACGCACGGAUGAGCCUGGUAGUUCAGGAAGCAACACCGAUUGCCGUGAUUCAGGCAUGGGUCAUCUUCAUGCACAGGAGAGCUAUUCGUCAUGGUGAGAGACAUGCCAUCUGUUAUGCUCCAAUGCUUAUUUGGGAGUAGAAGAGGAUCGUCAAUCUUAACUACAUCUACAACUGCAACGACAUAGAGGCCCUGUGGAUGCUUCCAAUGAAAAGAGCACCAUUUACCAGACUUGUCCAGACCUUCAGGACCAGGGGGCUGCUGCAAGAUAGCAUCCACACCAGUGUGGAAGAGCAAGUGGCCAUGUUCCUCCAUGUUGUUGGUCAUAACCAGAGGUUCAGAGUUAUACACAACACAUUCAGGAUAUCAAUGGAGACCAUCUCAAGGUACUUCAAGCAAGUGCUCCAUGCCAUUGGAGGAGAGAUGAUCAAGUCACCAACCGGUCGGAAUGCUAUCAAGAUUCGCACUAGCCCAAGAUGGUAUUCAUACUUCAAGGUGAGCACUGACAGUAUUGCUUCAUGGCUUGAUAUGCUUGUAUUGUUCAAGGUGAGUAGUAACAUAAUCUUCAUUUGCCAUUCCAAGAUUGCAUUGGGGCAAUAG